CAAAAAGAUAAGAGAUAAUGAGAGACAGGACUAGCUGGAUUUCCUAGGCCGACUAAGAAUCCCUAAGCCUAGCUGGGAAGGUGACCGCAUCCACCUUUAAACACGGGGCUUGCAACUUAACUCACACCCAACCAAUCAGAGAGCUCACUAAAAUGCUAAUUAGGCAAAAACAGGAGGUAAAGAAAUAGCCAAUCAUCUAUUGCCUGAGAGCACAGCAGGAGGGACAAGGAUCGGGAUAUAAACCCAGGCAUUCGAGCCGGCAACAGCAACCCCCUUUGGGUCCCCUCCUUCCUAUGGGAGCUUUGUUUUCACUCUAUUUCACUCUAUUAAAUCUUGCACUGCACUCUUCUCGUCCAUGUUUGUUACGGCUCGAGCUGAGCUUUUCGCUCGCCGUCCACCACUGCUGUUUGCCACUGUCGUAGACCCGCCCCUGACUCCCAUCCCGCCACUGACUCCCAUCCCUCCAGAUCCGGCAGGGUGUCCGCUGUGCUCCUGAUCCAGCAAGACUCCGGUUGCCACUCCUGAUUUUGCUAAAGGCUUGCCAUUGUUCCUGCACGGCUAAGUGCCUGGGUUCGUCCUAAUUGAGCUGAACACUAGUCACUGGGUUCCACGGUUCUCUUCCAUGACCCACAGCUUCUAAUAGAGCUAUAACACUCACUGCAUGAUCCAAGAUUCCAUUCCUUGGAAUCCGUGAGGCCAAGAAUCCCGGGUCAGAGAACACAAAGCUUGCCACCAUCUUGGAAGCGGCCCACCACCAUCUUGGAAGCGGCUUGCCACCAUCUUGGGAACUCUGUGAGCAAGGGCCUCAGGUAACAUUUUGGUGACCACGAAGUGACCUCCAAAGCGAUGCGGAGUCUCACUGUGUUGCAAAUUCCUGACCUCAAGUGAUCUUCCUGCCUGGGCCUCAAAGUGCGGGGAUUAUACGCAGGGGCCACUGCUUUCAGCCUUUAAAUUCUGUUAAAAACAGCGUUGGUGAGAAAGAAAAUGUCUACUUCCUGAGAAAGACUGAUAAGAAUCUAAAAGGCAUAAUUUUCUCAUAAAAGGGCUUAUAGGCAGAAGAGAUUUGCCUUGUCUCAGAUGAGACUUUGGACUUGGACUUUUGAGUUAAUGCUGGAAUGAGGCUCUGCCCUUCUUCUUCCUGCCACCAUGUGAAGAAGGACAUGUUUGCUUCCCCUUCUGCUGUAAUU
rnacentral:lncRNA from 10 species